rnacentral:rRNA from 1 species
UACGGAGGGGGCUAGCGUUGUUCGGAAUUACUGGGCGUAAAGCGCACGUAGGCGGCUUUGUAAGUUAGAGGUGAAAGCCCGGGGCUCAACUCCGGAAUUGCCUUUAAGACUGCAUCGCUAGAAUUGUGGAGAGGUAAGUGGAAUUCCGAGUGUAGAGGUGAAAUUCGUAGAUAGUUCGGAAGAACACCAGUGGCGAAGGCGACUUACUGGACACAUAUUGACGCUGAGGUGCGAAAGCGUGGGGAGCAAACAGG